rnacentral:rRNA from 1 species
CGGUAAUACGUAGGGUGCAAGCGUUAAUCGGAAUUACUGGGCGUAAAGCGUGCGCAGGCGGUGAUGUAAGACAGGUGUGAAAUCCCCGGGCUUAACCUGGGAACUGCAUUUGUGACUGCAUCGCUGGAGUGCGGCAGAGGGGGAUGGAAUUCCGCGUGUAGCAGUGAAAUGCGUAGAUAUGCGGAGGAACACCGAUGGCGAAGGCAAUCCCCUGGGCCUGCACUGACGCUCAUGCACGAAAGCGUGGGGAGCAAACAGGAUUAGAUACCCCGGUAGUCCACGCCCUAAACGAUGUCAACUGGUUGUUGGGUCUUCACUGACUCAGUAACGAAGCUAACGCGUGAAGUUGACCGCCUGGGGAGUACGGCCGCAAGGUUGAA